GCAGUAGCUCAGUGGUAGAGCGCCUGCAUUGUAUGCAUAAGGGCACUUGUUCAAUCCCCAGCACCU